AUUGAACGCUGGCGGCAGGCUUAACACAUGCAAGUCGAGCGGGGUGAUGGUGCUUGCACUAUCACUUAGCGGCGGACGGGUGAGUAAUGCUUAGGAAUCUGCCUAUUAGUGGGGGACAACAUCUCGAAAGGGAUGCUAAUACCGUAUACGUCCUACGGGAGAAAGCAGGGGAUCACUUGUGACCUUGCGCUAAUAGAUGAGCCUAAGUCGGAUUAGCUAGUUGGUGGGGUAAAGGCCUACCAAGGCGACGAUCUGUAGCGGGUCUGAGAGGAUGAUCCGCCCAACUGGGGCUGAGACACGGCCCAGACUCCUACGGGAGGCAGCAGUGGGGAAUAUUGGACAAUGGGGGGAACCCUGAUCCAGCCAUGCCGCGUGUGUGAAGAAGGCCUUAUGGUUGUAAAGCACUUUAAGCGAGGAGGAGGCUCUUUUGGUUAAUACCCAAGAUGAGUGGACGUUACUCGCAGAAUAAGCACCGGCUAACUCUGUGCCAGCCGCCGCGGUAA
rnacentral:rRNA from 1 species